AUUGAACGCUGGCGGCAGGCCUAACACAUGCAAGUCGAGCGGAUGAAGGGAGCUUGCUCCUGGAUUCAGCGGCGGACGGGUGAGUAAUGCCUAGGAAUCUGCCUGGUAGUGGGGGAUAACGUCCGUAAACGGGCGCUAAUACCGCAUACUUCCUGAGGGAGAAAGUGGGGGAUCUUCGGACCUCACGCUAUCAGAUGAGCCUAGGUCGGAUUAGCUAGUUGGUGGGGUAAAGGCCUACCAAGGCGACGAUCCGUAACUGGUAUGAGAGGAUGAUCAGUCACACUGGAACUGAGACACGGUCCAGACUCCUACGGGAGGCAGCAGUGGGGAAUAUUGGACAAUGGGCGAAAGCCUGAUCCAGCAAUGCCGCGUGUGUGAAGAAGGUCUUCGGAUUGUAAAGCACUUUAAGUUGGGAGGAAGGGAAGUAAGUUAAUACCUUGCUGUUUUGACGUUAACAAAAGAAUAAGCACCGGCUAACUUCGUG
rnacentral:rRNA from 1 species